ensembl:snoRNA
AGCCUUUUAUGGUUCAUAAGUACCAUGAUAGGGUUUUGACAUCAUUGUGUAAGAAGUGCUUUCCUCAAAUCAUGUUUUAACAUCGACACAUUACUUUUUUGAUC